GUGCUCACUUUGGCAGCAUAUUUACUAAAACUGGAACAAUAUGGAGGAGAUUAGCAUGGCCCCUGCAUAAGGAUGACAUGCAAAUUCAUGAAGUGUUCAUAUUUUUG